GGGAGCUUAGCUCAGCUGGGAGAGCAUCUGCCUUACAAGCAGGGGGUCACAGGUUCGAGUCCUGUAGCUCCCACCA
rnacentral:tRNA from 1 species